ensembl:lncRNA
UGUGAGUAGGGUCAGGACCCCGUCCUGUCCCUGUCCUCUCGGUGUAGGUGUUGCAGUGACCCCUUUGCCUCCUGGGGUUCGGGCCCUGGGGUUGGGUAAAGGUUAGGGCCCUCGGUUGGGUAAAGGUUAGGGGUUAGCCCACGUUUCCACCAGUUUUGAGCGGAACGAUUGGAACCAAGGAUGUGUCAUCAAUGGAGGGCGUGGCCAAACGGAAGUAAGCAAACGCAGUGAGAGGCCGGAUCGGACCACACUAAUGACCUGCGAGCGAACGGCGUCGUCACGGACCACACUGAGUACCUGCGAGCGAACGGCGUUGUCACGGUUCGCACUGGGAAAAACUGACAAUCUUUUGGUUCCGAACUGUUCAGGUUCCGAACCAAUUUAUUUUUGGUCAACAUGCCCCGAAAAGUUCAUAAUUUGGUGCGCAAACCAGAACAGGACGCCAUUCCCUGUUGGUGGAAAAGAGGUAGGAGUGUGUCUGCUCUGCCACUGCCUCACUCUAGGGGGCAGCAGCGAGCUCAUGGCUGACUGGUGCUGCUGUGGUAGUCGAGACCAUAGACAUAUAUACCUAUAUGUAUAUAUGUCUAUGGUCGAGACUAGAGCCCAGCCAGUCUCUACAGGCAAUGCAAGCAAGGUGUGUGUGUGUAAGACUGCAGACAACGCAAGUUUUCUUUUUUCUUUUUCUUUUUUUUUUUUACAAAAGCUUUCAAAUGUUUUAUUUUUCAUACAAGACUCUUUCAGCAAAAAGAUGUACAUUUUGUUAACAGCUAUUUUUUUUGCAUUAUAUCAAAGUGUAGUGUUUGUUUGUUUUAAGAAACCUGCCACUUACAAGUUUUGUACAGUGGAAGAGAGCAAACCUUCACAUAAAAAUCAAGCAAAACAUCAAGCAAAGAGUUACAUGUUUGUUUGUUUGUUUGUUUGUUUGUUUGUUUAUUACAAACGCAUUGCUGUGACGCCUCAGGCCACAGAACCUCAGAGCUUCUCACACCGACCCAAAGGCUGAGUGUGUGUGUGUGUGGUUCUAAUAUUCAGAAACAUAUCUGCAUCAGAC